rnacentral:rRNA from 1 species
AUUGAGCGCUGGCGGCAGGCCUAACACAUGCAAGUCGAACGGUAACAGGAAGCAGCUUGCUGCUUUGCUGACGAGUGGCGGACGGGUGAGUAAUGUCUGGGAAACUGCCCGAUGGAGGGGGAUAACUACUGGAAACGGUAGCUAAUACCGCAUAACGUCGCAAGACCAAAGAGGGGGACCUUAGGGCCUCUUGCCAUCGGAUUUGCCCAGAUGGGAUUAGCUAGUAGGUGGGGUAACGGCUCACCUAGGCGACGAGCCCUAGCUGGUCUGAGAGGAUGACCAGCCACACUGGAACUGAGACACGGUCCAGACUCCUACGGGAGGCAGCAGUGGGGAAUAUUGCACAAUGGGCGCAAGCCUGAUGCAGCCAUGCCGCGUGUAUGAAGAAGGCCUUCGGGUUGUAAAGUACUUUCAGCGGGGAGGAAGGGAGUAAAGUUAAUACCUUUGCUCAUUGACGUUACCCGCAGAAGAAGCACCGGCUAACUCCGUG